CUCCUGGAAACGGGUGGUAAUGCCGGAUGCUCCAAUGCGAUGCAUGUCGCGUUGGGAAAGAUUUCAUCGGUACGGGAUGGGGUCGCGUCCUAUCAGGUAGUCGGCGGGGUAACGGCCCACCGAGCCUACGACGGGUAGCCGGCCUGAGAGGGCGACCGGCCACAUUGGGACUGAGAUACGGCCCAGACUCCUACGGGAGGCAGCAGUGGGGAAUAUUGCACAAUGGGCGCAAGCCUGAUGCAGCGACGCCGCGUGCGGGAUGGAGGCCUUCGGGUUGUAAACCGCUUUUGUCGGGGAGCAAGCCUUCGGGUGAGUGUACCCUUCGAAUAAGCACCGGCUAACUACGUGCCAGCAGCCGCGGUAAUACGUAGGGUGCAAGCGUUAUCCGGAAUUAUUGGGCGUAAAGAGCUCGUAGGCGGUUCGUCGCGUCCGGUGUGAAAGUCCAUCGCUUAACGGUGGAUCUGCGCCGGGUACGGGCGGGCUGGAGUGCGGUAGGGGAGACUGGAAUUCCCGGUGUAACGGUGGAAUGUGUAGAUAUCGGGAAGAACACC
rnacentral:rRNA from 1 species